UUGAACGCUGGCGGCAGGCCUAACACAUGCAAGUCGAACGGUAACAGGAAGCAGCUUGCUGCUUCGCUGACGAGUGGCGGACGGGUGAGUAAUGUCUGGGAAGCUGCCUGAUGGAGGGGGAUAACUACUGGAAACGGUAGCUAAUACCGCAUAAUGUCGCAAGACCAAAGAGGGGGACCUUCGGGCCUCUUGCCAUCGGAUGUGCCCAGAUGGGAUUAGCUUGUUGGUGGGGUAACGGCUCACCAAGGCGACGAUCCCUAGCUGGUCUGAGAGGAUGACCAGCCACACUGGAACUGAGACACGGUCCAGACUCCUACGGGAGGCAGCAGUGGGGAAUAUUGCACAAUGGGCGCAAGCCUGAUGCAGCCAUGCCGCGUGUAUGAAGAAGGCCUUCGGGUUGUAAAGUACUUUCAGCGGGGAGGAAGGGAGUAAAGUUAAUACCUUUGCUCAUUGACGUUACCCGCAGAAGAAGCACCGGCUAACUCCGUG
rnacentral:rRNA from 1 species